UUUUGCCACCCUCCAGUCGCGCCGAGCCUUGCACCCGAGUCUACCGCGCGUAGGCGACACCGACAGGAUGCUGGGAUCUCCCUCGACCGCGAGUACCAGCAGCCGCUCACGCGGCUCACAGAUCAGACGUCGGUGGCCCGGCGGGGGCCUCGCGCCCCCGCCUCGGGUUCAGAUAUGACCGGCCCGGCCUUGGGAACGGCCGGAGCUUCGCGUUCCGUAGGUGAACCUGCGGAAGGAUCAUUA
rnacentral:rRNA from 1 species